GAUGAACGCUGGCGGCGUGCCUAAUACAUGCAAGUCGAGCGAACAGAUGAGGAGCUUGCUCCUCUGACGUUGGCGGCGGACGGGUGAGUAACACGUGGAUAACCUACCUAUAAGACUGGGAUAACUUCGGGAAACCGGAGCUAAUACCGGAUAAUAUAUUGAACCGCAUGGUUCAAUAGUGAAAGACGGUUUUGCUGUCACUUAUAGAUGGAUCCGCGCCGCAUUAGCUAGUUGGUAAGGUAACGGCUUACCAAGGCGACGAUGCGUAGCCGACCUGAGAGGGUGAUCGGCCACACUGGAACUGAGACACGGUCCAGACUCCUACGGGAGGCAGCAGUAGGGAAUCUUCCGCAAUGGGCGAAAGCCUGACGGAGCAACGCCGCGUGAGUGAUGAAGGUCUUCGGAUCGUAAAACUCUGUUAUUAGGGAAGAACAAAUGUGUAAGUAACUAUGCACGUCUUGACGGUACCUAAUCAGAAAGCCACGGCUAACUACGUG
rnacentral:rRNA from 1 species